GGAAGAUGUGAUGACAACCAUGAUUUGAAGAAGGAGAAAUGUGUCUGGUUUAUGUGAAAGAAAAAAAAAUAAAAAGGAAAAUGGUAUGGAAGAAAAGAAAAGUAAAAUGGUGAUUUUGAAACGAGGGAGGUGAAAGUGGAGAUGUGAAGGUGACGGUGAUUUCGAGAUGGAGAGGUGCACUCAUAAAAUAAAAUAAAAUAAAAUAAA
rnacentral:lncRNA from 1 species